GCCUGGGUGGCUCAGUCGGUUAAGUGUCUGACUUCGGCUCAGGUCAUGAUCUCAUGGCUCAUGGGUUUGAGCCCCACAUCAGGCU
rnacentral:tRNA from 1 species